rnacentral:rRNA from 1 species
GACGAACGCUGGCGGCGUGCUUAACACAUGCAAGUCGAACGGCAAGGCCCUGCUUUUGUGGGGUGCUCGAGUGGCGAACGGGUGAGUAACACGUGAGUAACCUGCCCUUGACUUUGGGAUAACUUCAGGAAACUGGGGCUAAUACCGGAUCGGAGCUCCUGCUGCAUGGUGGGGGUUGGAAAGUUUCGGCGGUUGGGGAUGGACUCGCGGCUUAUCAGCUUGUUGGUGGGGUAGUGGCUUACCAAGGGAUUGACGGGUAGCCGGCCUGAGAGGGUGACCGGCCACAUGGGGACUGAGAUACGGCCCAGACUCCUACGGGAGGCAGCAGGGGGUAAUAUUGCACAAUGGGCGGAAGCCUGAUGCAGCAACGCCGCGUGCGGGAUGACGGCCUUCGGGUUGUGAACCGCUUUCGCCUGUGACGAAGCGUGAGUGACGGUAAUGGGUAAAGAAGCACCGGCUAACUACGUG